UCGGGAGUGGAUUAGCGGCGGACGGGUGAGUAACACGUGGGUAACCUACCUCAAAGAGGGGGAUAGCCUCCCGAAAGGGAGAUUAAUACUGCAUAAUAAUCAGUUUUCACAUGGAGACUGAUUUAAAGGAGUAAUCCGCCCUGAGAUGGACCCGCGGCGCAUUAGCUAGUUGGUAGGGUAACGGCCUACCAAGGCGACGAUGCGUAGCCGACCUGAGAGGGUGAUCGGCCACAUUGGAACUGAGAGACGGUCCAGACUCCUACGGGAGGCAGCAGUGGGGAAUAUUGCACAAUGGGCGAAAGCCUGAUGCAGCAACGCCGCGUGAGUGAAGAAGGUUUUCGGAUUGUAAAGCUCUGUCUUUGGGGACGAUAAUGACGGUACCCAAGGAGGAAGCCACGGCUAACUACGUGCCAGCAGCCGCGGUAAUACGUAGG
rnacentral:rRNA from 1 species